GCCGGGGUAGCCUAGCGGUAAGGCGCAGGCCUGGAGAGCCUGUGCCCCUUCGGGGGCUCGCGGGUUCGAAUCCCGCCCCCGGCGCCA
rnacentral:tRNA from 2 species